GCUCAUCAAGCAGGGGAAAGGAAAAACACCUCCUUGGGUUGAUCUGAAUAAUAUCAAAGCUUAGAUCCAUCUUAAAAAGUCAUGGAGAAUUUUAACCUGAGGAUCUCAUGGCUCUAAAGACAUAGAUUUCUGAAUUUCAAGGACCUAUUGUCCAGAGCCAGGCCUUGCUCUUACUCUUGGACCAUUCAGCACAUUUAGUGCAAGAGGAUAUUCAAUUACUCUCAAAAAGAAGAUAAAUAUGAGGAAGAAAUCAAGAUUCUUACUGAUAAACUCAAGGAGGCAGAGACCCGUGCUGAGUUUGCUGAGAGAUCGGUAGCCAAGCUGGAAAAGACAAUUGAUGACCUGGAAGAUAAACUGAAAUGCACCAAAGAGGAGCACCUCUGUACACAAAGGAUGCUGGACCAGACCCUGCUUGACCUGAAUGAGAUGUAGAACGCCCCAGUCCCACCCUGCUGCUGCUCCUCCCUCUGACCCAGACUCCGCCUGAGGCCAGCCUGCGGGAAGCUGACCUUUAACUGAGGGCUGAUCUUUAACUGGAA
rnacentral:lncRNA from 1 species